rnacentral:rRNA from 1 species
GUACCUUUUGCAUCAUGGUCUAACUAGUAAAACCAAGCAAAAUGAAAUUUAAGUUUGACCCCCCGAAACUAAGCGAGCUACUUAAAAAUAGCCUCACGGGCCAACCCAUCUCUGUUACAAAAGAGUGGGAAAAUUUUUAAGUAGCGGUGACACACCUAUCGAGCCUAGAGAUAGCUGGUUAUUCAAGAAAAGGAUCUAGUCCAAUUUUAAAUCUCCACAUAUCCCCAAAUAUACUAUCAGAUUUAAAGUUUAUUCAAAUAAGGUACAGCCUAUUUGAAACAGGAUACAACCUAUUAAGCAGGGUAAUGCUACUAAUUACGUGACCAAGUCGGCCUAAGAGCAGCCACCUUAUAAAAAACGUUACAGCUUCAUCAUACAAUAUCUCUAAUAUUAUUAAAACCCAAAACCCUCCAUACCUACUGAAUGACUCCAUAUUUAUAUGGAAGACCUUAUGUUAGAACUAGUAAUAAGAACAACUUCUCCAUUAAGCACGUGUAAGCCGGAAUGAACAACUCACCGGCAUUUGCCGCCAAUAAAUAAAUAGUAAUAACCUCACAAGAAAACCCUACUUUUUCAAGCGUUAACCUUACACUAGACCUUACCUGGAAGAUUAAAAAAGAAGGAAGGAACUCGGCAAAAAAUAACCCCGCCU